GCACCCCCUGCUCCGUCAGCGCUGUAUCCACUGUGAAUCGCUCCUCCGAGCCACUGUCCAGCACCCGCUCGCCCCACGCCCACACCUGCCAGGACCAGCGAGGGGACUUGGGACCCCAGCCAAUGGCCUGGAGGACAGAUACCCCUGGUGACCUGGAGGCCCAGCUCAGGAGUCACAGCGGUUCUGGCCAGUGGGAAGACAAUGGGCUGCGAAGAGAGGACCCCAGUGACCUGACCAGCCAGAGGGGGCCAGAGGACAGAAGAGAGGAGGGGAGGCCACGGUGACCCUGUUUACCUGGACAGACAACAAUGGACAGAGGCAGGGCUUGGGGCCGGUGAUAUCAGAUGCCCAGCUGGGAAGCAGGGGGGCUCGGGGCUGGAGAGAGAGAGAAGGCAGAGCCCACCUGGAUGAGGGGGAGACUGGGAUGUGCUGUGCUGAGGGAGACCAGGCCUUAGGCCCUGAGAGUUUCCUGUGCUGGGUUCAGACGCUCAAUAAACCCUCUGAUUUUA